rnacentral:rRNA from 1 species
UACGUAGGUGGCAAGCGUUGUCCGGAUUUACUGGGCGUAAAGAGCGCGCAGGCGGUCGAUCAAGUCGCGUGUGAAAGCCCCCGGCUCAACUGGGGAGGGUCACGCGAUACUGAUCGACUCGAAGGCAGGAGAGGGUAGUGGAAUUCCCCGGUGUAGUGGUGAAAUGCGUAGAUAUCGGGAGGAACACCAGUGGCGAAGGCGACUACCUGGCCUGUUCUUGACGCUGAGGCGCGAAAGCUAGGGUAGCAAACAGG